AUGUAUAUUGGUUCUCUAGGGCA
rnacentral:siRNA from 1 species